rnacentral:rRNA from 1 species
CCUACGGGAGGCAGCAGUGGGGAAUUUUGGACAAUGGGGGCAACCCUGAUCCAGCCAUUCCGCGUGAGUGAAGAAGGCCUUCGGGUUGUAAAGCUCUUUCGCAAGGGAAGAAAACUUAUGAUCGAAUAAAUCAUGAGGUUGACGGUACCUUGAUAAGAAGCACCGGCUAACUACGUGCCAGCAGCCGCGGUAAUACGUAGGGUGCGAGCGUUAAUCGGAAUUACUGGGCGUAAAGCGUGCGCAGGCGGUUUUGUAAGUCGGAUGUGAAAUCCCCGGGCUCAACCUGGGAACUGCGUUCGAAACUGCAAGGCUAGAGUGUGUCAGAGGGGGGUAGAAUUCCACGUGUAGCAGUGAAAUGCGUAGAGAUGUGGAGGAAUACCAAUGGCGAAGGCAGCCCCCUGGGAUAACACUGACGCUCAUGCACGAAAGCGUGGGGAGCAAACAGGAUUAGAUACCCUGGUAGUCCACGCCCUAAACGAUGUCAACUAGUUGUUGGUAGAGUAAAACUCUAUGAGUAACCGUAGCUAACGCGUGAAGUUGACCGCCUGGGGGAGGUACGGUCGCGAAGUAAGUUAAACGUUAAAAGUUAAAGUUAGUUAGGCGUGAGAGNGCGACGGACGACGACGAGGGAGGAGG